rnacentral:rRNA from 1 species
ACUCCUACGGGAGGCAGCAGUGGGGAAUAUUGCACAAUGGGCGCAAGCCUGAUGCAGCCAUGCCGCGUGUGUGAAGAAGGCCUUCGGGUUGUAAAGCACUUUCAGUCGUGAGGAAGGUAGUUAGUAGGUUAAUAUGCUGCAUUAUUUGACGUUAGCGACAGAAGAAGCACCGGCUAACUCCGUGCCAGCAGCCGCGGUAAUACGGAGGGUGCGAGCGUUAAUCGGAAUUACUGGGCGUAAAGCGCAUGCAGGUGGUUUGUUAAGUCAGAUGUGAAAGCCCGGGGCUCAACCUCGGAAUUGCAUUUGAAACUGGCAAGACUAGAGUACUGUAGAGGGGGGUAGAAUUUCAGGUGNAGCGGUGAAAUGCGUAGAGAUCUGAAGGAAUACCGGUGGCGAAGGCGGCCCCCCUGGACAGAUACUGACACUCAGAUGCGAAA